GUCUGGAGUUCCUUCUACUAACACUAUCGUUAUCGGGUCAGACAAAGACCAAUAAUGGCGGCGCCCUGUGGACACUAUAAGAUUUCACAAGUUUCCUGUUCUGAUUGUGGAAGGCGUUUCCUGCUCACCGACAUACAUUAGGACAAAAAUGGCGGUGCCCAAUGGCCACUUUAAGACCAAGAGAUCAACCUAGGGACCAAAUCGCUGGAAUGGGAUAGUUUUGAUAGCUCGUCUGGCC